rnacentral:rRNA from 1 species
GAUGAACGCUGGCGGCGUGCCUAAUACAUGCAAGUCGAGCGAACGGACGAGAAGAUUGCUUCUCUGAUGUUAGCGGCGGACGGGUGAGUAACACGUGGAUCACCUACCUCUAAUACUGGGAUAACUUCGGGAAACCGGAGCUAAUACCGGAUGAUAUUUUGAACCGCAUGGUUCAAAAGUGAAAGACGGUCUUGCUGUCACUUAUAGAUGGAUCCGCGCUGCAUUAGCUAGUUGGUAAGGUAACGGCUUACCAAGGCAACGAUGCAUAGCCGACCUGAGAGGGUGAUCGGCCACACUGGAACUGAGACACGGUCCAGACUCCUACGGGAGGCAGCAGUAGGGAAUCUUGCGCAAUGGGCGAAAGCCUGACGGAGCAACACCGCGUGAGUGAUGAAGGUCUUCGGGUCGUAAAACUCUGUUAUUAGGGAAGAACAUAUGUGUAAGUAACUGUGCACAUCUUGACGAUACCUAAUCAGAAAGCCACGGCUAACUACGUG